AUGCAAGUCGAGCGGAGNGAGGUGCUUGCACCUUAUCUUAGCGGCGGACGGGUGAGUAAUGCUUAGGAAUCUGCCUAUUAGUGGGGGACAACAUUCCGAAAGGAAUGCUAAUACCGCAUACGUCCUACGGGAGAAAGCAGGGGAUCUUCGGACCUUGCGCUAAUAGAUGAGCCUAAGUCGGAUUAGCUAGUUGGUGGGGUAAAGGCCUACCAAGGCGACGAUCUGUAGCGGGUCUGAGAGGAUGAUCCGCCACACUGGGACUGAGACACGGCCCAGACUCCUACGGGAGGCAGCAGUGGGGAAUAUUGGACAAUGGGGGGAACCCUGAUCCAGCCAUGCCGCGUGUGUGAAGAAGGCCUUAUGGUUGUAAAGCACUUUAAGCGAGGAGGAGGCUACUGAGACUAAUACUCUUGGAUAGUGGACGUUACUCGCAGAAUAAGCACCGGCUAACUCUGUGCCAGCAGCCGCGGUAAUACAGAGGGUGCGAGCGUUAAUCGGAUUUACUGGGCGUAAAGCGUGCGUAGGCGGCUUUUUAAGUCGGAUGUGAAAUCCCCCGAGCUUAACUUGGGAAUUGCAUUCGAUACUGGGAAGCUAGAGUAUGGGAGAGGAUGGUAGAAUUCCAGGUGUAGCGGUGAAAUGCGUAGAGAUCUGGAGGAAUACCGAUGGCGAAGGCAGCCAUCUGGCCUAAUACUGACGCUGAGGUACGAAAGCAUGGGGAGCAAACAGGGUUAGAUACCCUGGU
rnacentral:rRNA from 1 species